rnacentral:rRNA from 1 species
AGCAGCCGUGUUAAUUCUAGCUCCAAUAGCGUAUAUUAAAGUUGUUGUAGUUAAAAGCUGUAGUUGAAUUUUAGGGUUCUACCGUUGGUUAGGCAAUAGUCUAUACUGGUGUGUAGAAUUCUACCUUCUGGGGAACUAUCAUGCUAUUUAUUUAGCGUGGUGGAAAACCAGAACCUUACCUUGAAAAAUUAGAGUAUUCAAAGCAGGCUUACGUCUGAAUAUAUUA